GGAUAUAGCUCAGCUGGUAGAGUGCUUGCCUCAAAUGAACAAAGCCCUGGGUUCAAUCCCCAGCACCG
rnacentral:tRNA from 1 species